UGGCUGUUCGCCAUUUAAAGUGGUACGCGAGCUGGGUUUAGAACGUCGUGAGACAGUUCGGUCCCUAUCUGCCGUGGGCGCUGGAGAAUUGAGGGGGGCUGCUCCUAGUACGAGAGGACCGGAGUGGACGCAUCACUGGUGUUCGGGUUGUCAUGCCAAUGGCACUGCCCGGUAGCUAAAUGCGGAAGAGAUAAGUGCUGAAAGCAUCUAAGCACGAAACUUGCCCCGAGAUGAGUUCUCCCUGAGACUNUAAGUCUCCUGAAGGAACGUUAAAGACGAUGACGUUGAUAGGCCGGGUGUGUAAGCGCAGCGAUGCGUUGAGCUAACCGGUACUAAUGAACCGUGAGGCUUAACCUUACAACGCCGAAG
rnacentral:rRNA from 1 species